CAAAGGGGUGGAGUUAUGAUAGGUCUCUUGGCAGUUUCCGGCAACACAACUCCAACGAAGGUAUGGAAACACGGCAAGUUAUAUGGACGACAAUACAUCGGUGGCGGCCCGUGGCCUGACAAUGUAGGCGCUGCACAUUGGAGGAUACUUCAGAAGGGGAGCUUCUCAAGCAUUACCAAGUCAAGCACAGUAUUUAUGGAUGUGGCUGUAAGUACCCUGUCUUCAUUUAAGAUGUCCUUGCUCCCUUAAAACAUGGAACAGUGGUGAAGUGGUAUUCUUCCUCGCUAUCCUCCAGGAGCUGAACCAAAACCAACUAAUCACCAAUUAAAGAAGAGAGACAGCCCAGUCAUUAAGGACUUGAUGUGGAGAACUUUUGCACAUAGAGGAACAUACGACAUACACAUGAGCAUCAGUGACAUGAAGCACAGGUGGCCUACCUUGUUUAAUGUCUCACAGGAGAGGAAGGUGCCAGAAUGGAGGCGAAAGGACACCAAAACUGUUAUCCUUGUUUGCAGCGAAGAAAAAUGUUGUCAGAGCAAGAAUUCAAGCACAGACGAACAAUCUAUUUCAGGAUGCCGGGGAUGGAUCAACCAGCAUUCAAGAAAAGAUGGCAUAGUGAUUGAGGGCAGCACCGUCCACAGCAAUCUUGGGGAUCUUAGCCAAGCCCGCUACUAUCUGAUGGGACUGACGUAUGCCAAGACCUGCGAUUCCCCGAGACCCUGUCAUCCAGUUUUAUGGUGUUCCAGUUAGUACUGCUGGAUCUGGAUUUAUGGAAACCUUUCAAAGACUUUGCCAACGAAAUGUUGUUGCCUGGCUCCCGUAAAGUGAAUGGUUGUCUAUAUGUGCCCUGUGAUUGGCUGGCCACCAUUCCAGGGUGUACCCCGCCGCUCGCCCGUAGACAGCUGGGAUAGGCUCCAGCACCCGUAAGGACAAAGCAGGAGAAAAUGAAUGGAUGUUGUUGGCGGCUUUCUGAGUGAUUUUUGGUUGGUGAAGUUUACCUGUCCUAAGUAUAGAAGUUUCAUGUGUUAAUGUUUAUUCAAGUGUCUUAAGGUCAUGAAAAUG